GAAAGCUAUUGUUUGGGGAUGAGCCCGCGUACCAUUAGCUGGUUGGUGGGGUAACGGCCAAGGCGAUGAUGGUUAGCUAGAGGAUACUGGAACUGACACACGGUCCAGACUCCUACGGUUGAGGCAGCAGGAGGAAUUUUGCGCAAUGGGGGCAACCCUGACGCAGCAACGCCGCGUGAGUGAUGAAGGCUUUUGGGUCGUAAAGCUCUGUCAAGUGGCAGGUGGUUAAUACCCAUUACGGUACCACUGAAAGCACCGGCUAACUCCGU
rnacentral:rRNA from 1 species